UUUAGUGGAAUGAUUAGGGGAAACAAAUCCCAAGAGAUAAGUAAGGAGCAUUCUUAGAAGCCUGGCUUCAAUUUAACAAAUGAAAUGAAGAUAUUUUUGUCUUGUUAUAUGCAUUCAUGCGUGGGUUUGUGGUGACGACAUUUAGCAGUUAAGUGGUGCUAUUGCAGUCCUGGUAGCCACACGACCUUCCUGAACCACACUGUGCCCAUCCUGGCCCCUACCUCUCUGCAAGUACAGAGUUCUGUGUGAUGGCAGGAAAAUGGAGCUGCUCGGAUCUAAUCUGAAACAGCACGUUAAGGAGGUCAGAGGAACCGGAGGCAUACAAAUUACACACCAAAAAGCCCAGGACCAGGAUCUUGUCCAUUGUAAAAUGGGAACAAUGACAGCUGUAAAGAGCUGGGGCAGGAUACAAUGGAUGAAGUAUGUGAAAUAACUUGGAGGAGGAAACGGUCUAGGUAAACACAGGUCUCUUCACCUGCUAGCCCAAAGAAUAAAAGUUGGCCAGGAUAGAUGAAGACUGAAUACUCCGGUUUUAUUUAACCAUCAAGAGCUCAAGGAUCCAACCUCAAUAAAACGAUUUCCCACCACACCACUGCUACUGCUUCCAAAGAUAGCUAAGUAUGGGGCCAGGGAUUUAGCUCAGUGGUUUCGCUGCCGGCUGUGCAAGCGCAAGGACCCAAGUUCGAUCCCAGGUACCAAAAAAAAAAAAAAAAAAAGAUAGCUAAGUAUGGUGUAUGUUCAUUUAUUAUCUAAUUCUUCAGCUUUUCUAAUCUGUUCAGUAUAUUCUCUAAAUACCCAAAGGGUGGCAAAAUAAAUCAGAAACAUUUAGAAACCCAAACUGUCAAGAAAUUUGCCAAAAUUCAAUUUCAGGCAAUCUGAAUGGAUAAAGAAUGUUGUUCAAGGAUCAUUUCUGUAGGGAAAACUUAAAA